rnacentral:rRNA from 1 species
GACGAACGCUGGCGGCAGGCCUAACACAUGCAAGUCGAGCGGAGCGGCGGACGGGUGAGUAAUGCCUAGGAAUCUGCCUGGUCGUGGGGGAUAACGUCCGGAAACGGGCGCUAAUACCGCAUACUAUCAGAUGAGCCUAGGUCGGAUUAGCUAGUUGGUGGGGUAAAGGCCUACCAAGGCGCCGAUCCGUAACUGGUCUGAGAGGAUGAUCAGUCACACGUGAACUGAGACAAGGUCCAGGCUCCUACGGGAGGCAGCAGUGGGGAAGAUUGGAUAAUGGGCGAAAGCCUGAUCCAGCCAUGCCGCGUGGGGGAAGAAGGUCUUCGGAUUGUAAAGCACGUUAAGUUGGGAGGCGUUACCAACAGAAUAAGCACCGGCUAACUUCGUGCCAGACGCCGCGGUAAUUC